CCUACGGGCGGCAGCAGUGGGGAAUAUUGCACAAUGGGGGAAACCCUGAUGCAGCGACGCCGCGUGAGUGAAGAAGUAUUUCGGUAUGUAAAGCUCUAUCAGCAGGGAAGAAAAUGACGGUACCUGAGUAAGAAGCCCCGGCUAACUACGUUCCAGCAGCCGCGGUAAUACGUAGGGUGCAAGCGUUAUCCGGAUUUACUGGGUGUAAAGGGAGCGUAGACGGGAGCACAAGUCUGGAGUGAAAUGCCGGGGCUUAACCCCGGAACUGCUUUGGAAACUGUGCAGCUAGAGUGCAGGAGAGGUAGGUGGAAUUCCUGGUGUAGCGGUGAAAUGCGUAGAUAUUAGGAGGAACACCAGUGGCGAAGGCAGCUUACUGGACUGUAACUGACGUUGAGGCUCGAAAGCGUGGGGAGCAAACAGGAUUAGAUACCCCUGUAGUC
rnacentral:rRNA from 1 species